CAAACGGUCCUUUCCAGGACCACCAAAAAUGAUGCCUCAAGAGUUGU
rfam:Aedes albopictus isolate Foshan contig52102, whole genome shotgun sequence.